AGCAGCCGCGGUAAUUCCAGCUCCAAUAGCGUAUAUUAAAGUUGUUGCAGUUAAAAAGCUCGUAGUUGAAUUUCGGGAUUGACGUGAUGGUCGUGCCUUACGGGGUAUGAACUGUUGCUGUUGAUUUCUCACCUUCUGGAGAAACUUGAUGUCCUUAAUUGGGUGUCUUGCGGAUCCAGGACCUUUACCUCGAAAAAAUUAGAGUGUUUAAAGCAGGCAUUUUGCUCGAAUACAUUAGCAUGGAAUAAUAGAAUAGGACGGCAUGGUUCUAUUUUGUUGGUUUCUAGGAUCACCGUAAUGAUUAAUAGGGAUAGUUGGGGGCAUUAGUAUUCAAUUGUCAGAGGUGAAAUUCUUGGAUUUAUUGAAGACUAACUACUGCGAAAGCAUUUGCCAAGGAUGUUUUCAUUAAUCAAGAACGAAAGUUAGGGGAUCGAAGACGAUCAGAUACCGUCGUAGUCUUAACCAUAAACUAUGCCAACUAGGAAUCAGACGAUGUUAAUUUUUUAAUGACUCGUUUGGC
rnacentral:misc_RNA from 2 species